GAUUUCUGGCUUGAAACAAUCAGCCGGCCACGGUUUCGUGUGUUAGUGCUGUGUUGUUCUGGCCAUCCUUUCAAUCGCGUCAGCCUGCUCUUCAUUGACUGGGUUGGCGUAUUGAAUCUUUUACUUUGAAAAAAUUAGAGUGUUUCAAGCAGGCUUUAUGCUAUGAAUACAUUAGCAUGGAAUAAUAAUUUAGGACUUCGGUUCUAUUUUGUUGGUUUCUAGGACUGAAGUAAUGAUUGAUAGGGAUAGUUGGGGGUGCUAGUAUUCAGCGGCCAGAGGUGAAAUUCUCGGAUUCGCUGAAGACUAACUUAUGCGAAAGCAUU
rnacentral:rRNA from 1 species